rnacentral:lncRNA from 1 species
CAGACGUGGACGGUAGCAGGGGGUCCUGGUGUGCCGCAGUGUGAACAAGAAGCCAGUUUGUGUCUCAGGACUCGUUUACGGGGAGUCGCUGGAUGCAGAAUGAGCUGCUUCCCUCAGGUCUCGCAACAAAACAUCUGAAAAGAGGGCUGUGCUGUUGAGCACCUUGACGCAUGGGAGGGACGCUGAUGCCUGCAACAGUGACCGUGUCCCCGCGGUCCCUGAGCUGGGUGGUGUCGGCCAGCCUGGCCUGGGCGCCUCACUCACCACCCGGCUGCAGGCCCACCUUGCCUGACCCAUCCCCAUAAAGGCAUCCUUGUCCCUUGCUGGGUCCUGCCAAUGAAGCUGAUGGUCGGAGCUCACUGGCUGCCUUCUGGACCUGCCCAUGGCUCCACCGGCGGCCGUCACCCUAAGCCUGGGGUCCCCAAGCCCGGGUACUGGAGCUCUACAGUGGGCUGGCACAGGAGGGCCAGGAAGUGAGCGGCCCCAGAUUCUUUCCAGCUGUUCUCUGAGUCACUGCAGUGUGUUCCAAGCCCAGCUGCCAGCUGCCUCCCUGGCCUGUUAUUUAUGCAGUUGCUGAGCUGUUGCUGGACUCAUCGACGGGAAUAAACAGGGCAUCUCGCCGAGUUCUCCCAAGCUGGACACCCCAGUGGGGUCACCUAGAAGUGCCACGAGUCCAGCUCCCAGCAGCGUGCCUGCUGUCAGGCUCCUGUGUCCCCCUGCCGAGAGUGAGGACUCACAGGCAGGACUGCAGGCGCCCCAAGUUCUGACUCCGGACUUCUUAGCCGCUCUAUCGAGGUACAGCCCACAGCCCCACAGCUCCCAGUCCGUGUGAGUGAAUUCACCGCAUUGUGCAGCCCCAGCGCAGCCGGUUCCAGACCGCUUUCCUCACCCGGAAGAGAAACCUCGUCCUGGUCGUCAUCCCGUCCGUCUGUCGCGCCCUCCCAGCACCUGGCACCUGGAUUCACCUUCUGUCCCUGUGGACUGGCCUGCUCUGGACGCUUUGCACCAAGGAGAUCGUGCAGCCCCGGCUCUUUGCAUCUGGCUCUUCUGCUUUUCAUAGCGUUUCCAAGGGUGGCUGGGUCGUGGCUUGAGGUGGUGCGGGCCAUGUUUGUACCGUUGAGGUAGAAGUUCACCACACGUGAUCUUGGGGUCCAACUUCCUGCUCCAUGUUACGUCUGUGAAAAUCUCCCGUUUGGGGUGCUUUGCUUUUUAUUCUGUGAUGCUGGAGUUGGAACCCAGGCCUCUAGUGUGCUGAGACUGUGCUCCACCUGAGCGCACCCCAACCCCGCCCUGUGCUCUCGAGCAGCAGCCCUC